AGGAGACGCGGCUCAGAGCGGGUGGACUCCUCCUGCGGCGCUCUUGCCGGGGGAGCGGGGUCCGCGGAAGCUUGAGGAACGCGCCUGGAGCACUAGGCCGGGUUCGAGGCCUGCCCUUGGCUGGGGGAGGCGAGGCGGAGGGCAGGUCUCUUCCCUUCUCCCGGCCUCGGUUCACUCACUGAUGAAGUGGGACCCACGCUCCCGCUCCCACAGCUGCUGCGAGGAUGAGACUGGAUCCACGGUUCUCAACUCUUAGUCUCAAGACCCCUCUAUGCUCUAAAAAUGACUGAGGGCCUCAAAAAGCUUUUGCCAAUACAUAGCUGGGGUGGACCACGCCCACCCCAUCCCCAGUUUGGUACACCACUGGCCACAGGCAAAGGGACAAGUGCUUUGAAAGAAGGAUGGUGGGGUGACAGUGAGGGACAUGGAGGAGAGUGGGCCCAUCCGCAGGGGGUGGAAAAGAAGGCAUGUCUGGAGAAGAAAGACAUGAACAAGCUCAGUGGAGGAACAGCUUUGACACUCCAGGAAAAUCCAGGUGAAAAGGUGGCAGUGCCACGGCGUGACUGCGGAGCCCAAGCCCUCCCGGGUGAGGGCAUCCCAGGGCAUCAUCAUCAUCUUUGACUUAGACAACACAGCAAAGUACAAGCCAUCAAGGAAAAGAGCAACAACUUUGUCUACAUUCAAAAUUAAAAUCUCAAGGAACCCAGAGUAGUCAAAUUCAUAGAGAGAAAGUAGAAGGGUGGCUACGAGGGGCUGCGGAGAGGAGUAACAGGAAGUGAGUGUUUAAUGGGGACAAGGUUUCAGUUUGGGAAGAUGAAAAAGUUCUGGAGAUGGAGAGUGGUGAUGGCUGCACAACAGUGUGAAUGUACUUAAUGCCACUGAACUUAAAAAUGAUAGAAAUGGUAGAUUUUAUGUGUAUUUUACCACAAUGAAAAGAAAUUAAAAUCACUGCAAAACAAAAGUCAAACAACUGCAAUGCACAUAACUGACAAAAAAAAACAAGAAAGAAAGUUGGAAACAUCUAAAUUAUCCAUCAAAGCCAUACUAUGCAGCCAUUACAAAGAAUGAUCUCCAAGAUACACUAAGUGAAACAGUAAAUUGUAAGAUACUGUGUACAUUAUGAUACCACUGGUAUAAAACUACCCAACACAAACACACACACACAUAUAAUCUGCGAGAUAUUUCUAUGAGCACAGAAACCUCAGAGGAUACACGAGAAACCGUAACAGGUACAUACUGGGAGGAGAAUGGGCGGAGGCAAAACAAAACCCGGCUGCCCUCUGUGAACGCUUUUUCUGUUAAAGAUAUAGAAGACUUCUGGUUUCCAGUCUGGCGUUUAAAGAGCCUGCCAGUUUUGCUCUGUCCUAACAACAAGGGAACAGCUGAACAAACUGAAAACCAACAAAUCUUAGCUCUGUCAGAGAAGUGAGGUCACAGGGCAAACUACUGCCACAAAAACUGGUUGUUGACCGGCAGAAAAGAACCACAACCUGCGGGAGCAGAAACCUCCGGGAACCCGUGCUGGGAGGAAACUUGAACUGUAACUGGCUCACUGCUGGAGGCUCCGUGUGGACAACGCCAGAGAUAGAAAUGUGGGCCCAAGCUCUCCCGGGAUGCCAUCCAGGAGCGCCAGCAUGUUCCCACAGCAAAGACUGGAGGAAAUCCCCUGUGCUCCUGGCAGGAGGAGGGGAAAGGAACAUUCUGAGAGACCCAGAGCAUUCUGUUCUUCCUAAAAAGUUCUGUAGCUAAGAGAAGGGUCAGGAGACAUCGCGGCCUGCCUGGGGUUCACCGGGCUUGGAAGUGGCCCUCACCUGGGCCAGAGAGAGCCGCAGACCAGGCCAGAGAGGGACCCAGGCUCGAAGCAGUGAGGAUGCACCCCUGGUUUCAGAGAAUAUUCCUGGGGAGAAGGGAGAACAAAGGGUCCCGGGCUGGUGGUGCAUGAAUGGCGGGAACAGAACGAAGCU